rnacentral:lncRNA from 1 species
AAGCUUUUCCUUCCUCUUCCAAGGGAAUUUGACUUUGAGAUACAAUGAAUACAUUCUCAAAUUGUAGACAUCCUGAAGUAACUGGAUAACUCACUCAGUUAUUUUUAUUGACGAGCUUUCCGACACUGUGAAGAGUCCAUUGGUACACAGAGGCAAAAUACCAUACACCGCCAGUCAGAGUAAGAUUGCAGGGUAUAAUUUGCUGUGUCAUCGUUGCAUGCCAAAAUCUGAAAAGCAGAAUGUGCAAGUGAUUCAGAGGAUAUAUG